rnacentral:rRNA from 1 species
CAGUAGCCGCGGUAAUGCGUAGGGUGCAAGCGUUAAUCGGAAUUACUGGGCGUAAAGCGCGCGCAGGCGGAUAGGUCAGUCUGUCUUAAAAGUUCGGGGCUUAACCCCGUGAUGGGAUGGAAACUGCCAAUCUAGAGUAUCGGAGAGGAAAGUGGAAUUCCUAGUGUAGCGGCGAAAUGCGUAGAUAUUAGGAAGAACACCAGUGGCGAAGGCGACUUUCUGGACGAAAACUGACGCUGAGGCGCGAAAGCCAGGGGAGCGAACGGGAUUAGAUACCCGGGUAGUCCCUGUCUCUUAUACA